UACGUAGGGGGCUAGCGUUGUCCGGAAUCAUUGGGCGUAAAGAGCGUGUAGGCGGCCCGGUAAGUCCGCUGUGAAAGUCGGGGGCUCAACCCUCGAAUGCCGGUGGAUACUGUCGGGCUAGAGUGCGGAAGAGGCGAGUGGAAUUCCUGGUGUAGCGGUGAAAUGCGCAGAUAUCAGGAGGAACACCAAUUGCGAAUGCAGCUCGCUGGGACGUUACUGACGCUGAGACGCGAAAGCGUGGGGAGCAAACAGG
rnacentral:rRNA from 1 species